UGACUCAUGGGUAAGAAGAGGGAGACCAUAUAAAUUAGAUAUUCCGAGUUGGAGGAGAGAGUAAAUUCAAUAACUCAAUGACUUACCAUGCUGCAAAGCUUAUAAAACCCUCAGUAAACGGUAGCUGUUACUGUUAUAUGUAUGCCCUAAGUGAAGUCCAUUCUAAUAGGCAGAGAAGUAUCUAUAAUCUACCGUGACCAAACAAGGACAUAAAACCCAUCUACUUACCCUGCAAAACUGCUUUUAUAGGUUCAUGUGAGAUUUCACUAGAUCAUCACAACUCUCCUCUUGGCUUUUUGUCUUACCACAUUUCCUAUAAAAUCCUGAGCAGAGAUUCACAAACUAGUUCAUACCCUGAAAUAAAUCUUGCCUUUUGGAAGGUGCAUAUUUGAAUAUUUAUUAGCAUUUGAUAAUUACAUUCACAACAAAGACAUUUGAGGGAGGAGACACAUUGCCAGGGGGAUUAAGAAGUAACCUACACGUUUACCUAAUGUAGAACGAGUGGCCAGGAUCAAUCACUCCAGCAACCCAGGCAACAGAAGGGCUUCACUUUCACCUGCAGAACUGGAACAGAUCCGAAGGAGUUCCAGCUGGAAAAAAUCUGAAGGAGUUCUGUCCUUGACACCCAAGGGGACCUGCCUCCAUUAUAGAUUUGUACUUCGGAGGAGACUAGUAAGCAGCCUUGGUCCUGUAAACCCAAGUCUGGUCAGUGAGGGCCGUACCAGGAUGCCUACAACCUGCCCACCAAACACUCAGCAAAGCCACGGUGCUACAUAGUCUCCAGAACCGGGGGAAGCUUUGUCAUUAAAUUCCCUGAAGGGAAUGCUAAGACAGAAAGCAGAGCCUAGAAGGAGGUGGAAAGUAGGGUGGACGGUGAAGGUAUCUAUGAGAUCUCAUGGGAGGAACCAACCUUCGUCUCUUGGAUGUCCCUGUGCACCCGUGACCGUGAGCUACCUUCCUUCCAUUCCCCACCACCUAACUAAAGUUUUCUUUGUUCAGGAAGUAGAAUCAUGCAACUAAAAGGGAAAAUUAUAGUUUUGUCAUGAAAAACUAGUCCAGGACUAACGGAGCCUUGGACUGGCCUUGUGACUUACGAAAGUUACUUAACCACCUUCCAUGUGUUGCUUCAACUUUCUCGUCUGUAAAGAGGACUAAUGAUGGUACCUACCAAAAGCAUAGCAGUUGUGAAAACUCUAGAGUUCACUCAUGUGAAGGGCUUAGGACAAUUCCUAGUGCUGUUCUCAAAAAAAUUUUGAGAUAUUAUUGUUUUAGCUACUUUUUUUUUUUAACAGCCACCUUCAAUGACACACUGCUCUGAACAGUCUUAUCCCAUCACUGCCAACGCCAUGCAGAGACACAUUCCAUGGGAUGAUAAAGAUAAAAUUGCUUGAACAGAUCAUGCCUCUCUGGUUAAUCACCACCUUACUUACUCAUUCAAUAAAUUUUGAUUGCCUUUGUGACAGACACUGUUUAUGUACUUGGGCUAGAGUGGGGAAUAAGGCAAAGUCCUCAUGGAGUUUACAUUCUUGUUGGAGGGACAGAUAAGCAAGUACUUUAAGUAUAUAAUAUGUUGCCAGACGACGGGACAUUUCUGUGGAGAAAAAGAAAGCUGGGAGGGAGGAAGGGAGUGAUGGGGCAUUGCUGUAGACGAGGGGGCAGUGGGUAGGCAGAAGGCCUCUCAAGCCUUCACUGGAAGUCUUCCUCUUCCAUUGAAUGGAAGUCUUCCUGGAAAGACUUGGUGGAUCAGUCCUUGCAAACAGCACAGCAGAUGCAAGGGACUUGGGAUGGAAAUGAGCCUGGUGGGUCCAAGGAAGUUAAGCAAGAGGACAGUUGUAACAGGAACCGAGCGAGAUGGAGGUAUUCCCUCAAACAGAGCAGAUGUAGGGCCUUGGAGGCAAUGCUAAUGGGUUUGAAGAUCGAGGGGGCAUCAUCCCUCAUUCUGGCCUUCCUUCUAUUUCACAGAUUGCCCUGGGGGUUCUCUCCUAGGCGAUCACUUGAUAUUAUGUGGCUUUUAUCAGUGAGGUGGCUUCCUUCUGGGGUGCUGAUGGCUAGAGCUUCUUCAACUUCCCAUGGCAGUUCCUGUGAGUGGGGCAUGAUGUCUGUGCCCCAGGGUGGCCAGGUAAAGUAGGGGGACUGUCACAUGCCCCUGAAAAUGUUGCAUUGUCACACAUCUGGAAGCAUCCCCCUCCCCCCACUCCCGCAACCAGGACCAGCUGUGUAAUUUGUGGGGCCUGAUGCAAAAUGAAAACAUGGACUCCUUAUUUAAGCAUUACAAAUUUCAAGAUGGUGACAGCAGAGCAUUAAAAGAAGCACACAACUAUGAGGGCUGCAUGCCCAGGAAGCCAGCUCUGCCUCCAUCACUGUCCCACACUCACCCUCCCUGAGACCCGGGCAUGGCAACCCUUUGCUUCAGGGGCUCCAGAAGGUCUUGAGAAGUCAGGUCUUUCCUCUCUUCUGCUUACAGUACCUUGUUUUCCCCUAACUCAGGCCAAUUCUGCUGUGCUUAAAAUCACCCCUGUUCUUUGAUGACCAAAUAAUCACAUAGACAUGUGCUCUCCUUUCCUUAAUCAAAAGCUGGCUCCCCAAGCAUUGCCCACACAACUAGCAUUGCUGCUGGUAAGACUAAGCUGAGUUUGUUGCUUACUGCAGUAGGGGACAACGGCACCUUGCAAAACUGGGAGGGUCUCAGAGCAGGAAGGUAAGGUCAGAAUUUAUUGAGAAUUAGAAGUUUGCUUGAAGGCCUUUAUUUCAGUGCAGGUGUUUGAUUGAGAUUGGCUGAAAAUACUGAUGAUGUCUAGAAUUGAUGGAAACAGCAGGUUUGAAAAAAGUCCUAAGAGCCCACACUGUCAAUGUUUUCAGUGGAAGUUGAUGGAUCUUUUGUGAAGUUCCUGUAAUGAAUAAUCAAAACCAGUCAGUUACGGGGGUGCCUGGGUGACUCAGUCAGUUGAGCUUCCACCUUCGGCUCAGGUCGAUCUUGUAGUUCAUGAGUUCCAGCCCCAUGUUGGGUUCACUGCUAUCAGGACAGAGCCUGCUUCAGAUCCUCUAUCCCCCUCUCUGCCCCUCCCCCACUCGUGCUUGCUCGCUCUCUCAAAAGUAAACAUUUUUUAAAAAAUGUAAAAGGGCAUCUGGGUGGCUCAGCCAGUUAAGUGUCCGACUUCAGCUGAGGUCAUGAUCUCACAGUUUGUGAGUUCGAGCCCCGCAUCGGGCUCUGUGCUGACAGCUCAGAGCCUGGAGCCUGCUUGUGUCUCCCUCUCUCUCUGCCCCUUACAUGCUUGCUCACUUGCUCUUCCUCUCUCUCUCUGUCUCUGAAAAAUAAAUAAAACAUUAAAAAAAAUUUUUUUUUAAUCCUACGCGGGCAGGACAGACCCAGAAGUGUAAAGGAGACAAGGGAAUAUAGCAAAGUUGGGUUACUCUAGACAGUAAGGCAUGGUUUUGGUUCAGUGUCUAGGCUGAGUAUGGGGUGGGCGAUUGGGGGUCUCACUCAGAAUGAGUGAUUUCUCUUCAGCUUGGUGCCUUCCUGACUGGCCUGCCUCUGCUGACACAGACAUGCUCAGACAUGUCUGAGUUAUCCAAUGAGUAUAGUCCAGAGUCAGGUAAGGAGACUGAUGUCCUAAGGUCUCCUCCUAUCAUGGUAAGAAGACCCUGUUUUUCCUGGGGUAGAAAUAAUCACAUUGCUGCCCUGAAUUGGGGGUCUUUGCUUGCAGACAAUGGACUGUUACAAGAAUGGGAUGGGGGAAGGGCAGGCAGGAGAAGAGAGAGAGGGCAGGGUCGCUGGAAGACCAUCUCUAUUACUGAGGUGGCAUGGCGGGGGGGAGGGUUGUUGAGAAAGAACAGAUUUCUCCAACAGCCUUUUCAGUGGAAACAGAAAGACCCAGAAUGUGGUGGUGACUUCACAGUGCUUGAUUGCCAUGGAAACUUAGGUAAUUUCUAAAGCAGCUUCAAAAGCUUCCAUCCCUAUGGCUCUUCUAGGAUGUUCUUACAGAGAGAAGGAUACUUGGUGAGCCCACCUGGGACAAAACAGCAGCGUGAGGAAUUAACCAGCAAGGCAGAUGCAGGCUUCCUGGCAAGCCUUUGUUUAUACCCGAGGCGCAGGGGUCGUCCUUGCCCCCACCAGCAAGGCGGAGGGCUCCUCUUUGGCCCCCACCAGUGGUAGGCAGGUGUUCGUUGGGGGGCAAGACAGGAAGAGAGGGGUAGAGAAGCCAUGAAGGGAGUCACUUCUACUACCAAAGUGUUACCAAAAGCAUCAGGUCCAGAUGCGAUGAAGGUUAGCCUCAAUUUCACCAUCUGCAAAAUAGUACCUGCCUUCUAGGAUUGUGCUGAGAAAUAACUGAGAAGUGGAACACACUGAACAUGGUCGGCCUGUAAUAAUAGCACUUCCUACGUUUUUACUCA